AAAUUGAAGAGUUUGAUCAUGGCUCAGAUUGAACGCUGGCGGCAGGCCUAACACAUGCAAGUCGAACGGUAACAGGAAGCAGCUUGCUGCUUCGCUGACGAGUGGCGGACGGGUGAGUAAUGUCUGGGAAACUGCCUGAUGGAGGGGGAUAACUACUGGAAACGGUAGCUAAUACCGCAUAACGUCGCAAGACCAAAGAGGGGGACCUUCGGGCCUCUUGCCAUCGGAUGUGCCCAGAUGGGAUUAGCUUG
rnacentral:rRNA from 1 species